AAAAUCCGUCGACUUUAAAAAUCGUGAGGGUUCAAGUCCCUCUAUCCCCAAAAAGCCUCCCAACCAUUUCUCCUAUAUCU
rnacentral:tRNA from 1 species